ensembl:misc_RNA Metazoa_SRP Metazoan signal recognition particle RNA
UCUAUAGGUUCUUGCGCGCCUGUAGUCCCAGCUACUCUGGAGGCUGAGGCAGGAGGAUCGCUUGAGCCUAGGAGUUCUGGGCUGUAGUGCGCUCUGCCGAUCCGAUCCGGCAUCAAUAUGGUGACCUCCCGGGAGCGGGGGACCACCAUGUUUCCUAAGGAGGGGUGAAACGGCCCAGGUCGGAAACGGAGCAGGUCAAAACUCCCUGCUGCAUACACUAUGAAUCAAAUUGAUGAGUUAGCUAAUGAGUUAAAUACUUGGGCAAUAAUCAUGUNNNN